rnacentral:rRNA from 1 species
UUGCUUAACACAUGCAAGUCGAACGGUAGCACAGAGAGCUUGCUCUCGGGUAACGAGUGGCGGACGGGUGAGUAAUGUCUGGGAAACUGCCUGAUGGAGGGGGAUAACUACUGGAAACGGUAGCUAAUACCGCAUAACGUCGCAAGACCAAAGAGGGGGACCUUCGGGCCUCUUGCCAUCAGAUGUGCCCAGAUGGGAUUAGCUAGUAGGUGGGGUAACGGCUCACCUAGGCGACGAUCCCUAGCUGGUCUGAGAGGAUGACCAGCCACACUGGAACUGAGACACGGUCCAGACUCCUACGGGAGGCAGCAGUGGGGAAUAUUGCACAAUGGGCGCAAGCCUGAUGCAGCCAUGCCGCGUGUAUGAAGAAGGCCUUCGGGUUGUAAAGUACUUUCAGCGGGGAGGAAGGUGUUGUGGUUAAUAACCACAGCAAUUGACGUUACCCGCAGAAGAAGCACCGGCUAACUCCGUGCCAGCAGCCGCGGUAAUACGGAGGGUGCAAGCGUUAAUCGGAAUUACUGGGCGUAAAGCGCGCGCAGGCGGUCUGUCAAGUCGGAUGUGAAAUCCCCGGGCUCAACCUGGGAACUGCAUUCGAAACUGGCAGGCUAGAGUCUUGUAGAGGGGGGUGGAAUUCCAGGUGUAGCGGUGAAAUGCGUAGAGAUCUGGAGGAAUACCGGUGGCGAAGGCGGCCCCCUGGACAAAGACUGACGCUCAGGUGCGAAAGCGUGGGGAGCAAACAGGAUUAGAUACCCUGUAGUCCACGCCGUAAACGAUGUCGACUUGGAGGUUGUGCCCUUGAGGCGUGGCUUCCGGAGCUAACGCGUUAAGUCGACCGCCUGGGGAGUACGGCCGCAAGGUUAAAACUCAAAUGAAUUGACGGGGGCCCGCACAAGCGGUGGAGCAUGUGGUUUAAUUCGAUGCAACGCGAAGAACCUUACCUACUCUUGACAUCCAGAGAACUUUCCAGAGAUGGAUUGGUGCCUUCGGGAACUCUGAGACAGGUGCUGCAUGGCUGUCGUCAGCUCGUGUUGUGAAAUGUUGGGUUAAGUCCCGCAACGAGCGCAACCCUUAUCCUUUGUUGCCAGCGGUUAGGCCGGGAACUCAAAGGAGACUGCCAGUGAUAAACUGGAGGAAGGUGGGGAUGACGUCAAGUCAUCAUGGCCCUUACGAGUAGGGCUACACACGUGCUACAAUGGCGCAUACAAAGAGAAGCGACCUCGCGAGAGCAAGCGGACCUCAUAAAGUGCGUCGUAGUCCGGAUUGGAGUCUGCAACUCGACUCCAUGAAGUCGGAAUCGCUAGUAAUCGUAGAUCAGAAUGCUACGGUGAAUACGUUCCCGGGCCUUGUACACACCGCCCGUCACACCAUGGGAGUGGGUUGCAAAAGAAGUAGGUAGCUUAACCUUCGGGAGGGCGCUUACCACUUUGUGAUUCAUGACUGGGGUG